GCCCUCUCCGAUGUGGAGAUCAUGUCCAAGAUCGUCGCCGGCCUCGACCUGGAAUAUAAUCCAGUCGUGUCGGCGCUCGCGGCUCGGGUGGAGCCUGUCACGGUUCAGGAUCUAUACAGUCAGCUCCUGAGUUUUGAUG
rfam:Hordeum vulgare subsp. vulgare, WGS project CAJW01000000 data, contig: morex_contig_62049